rnacentral:rRNA from 1 species
GACGAACGCUGGCGGCGUGCUUAACACAUGCAAGUCGAACGGAAAGGCCCUGCUUUUGUGGGGUGCUCGAGUGGCGAACGGGUGAGUAACACGUGAGUAACCUGCCCUUGACUUUGGGAUAACUUCAGGAAACUGGGGCUAAUACCGGGUAGGAGCUCCUGCUCCAUGGUGUGGGUUGGAAAGUUUCGGCUGUUUGGGAUGGACUCGCGGCUUAUCAGCUUGUUGGUGAGGUAGUGGCUUACCAAGGGUUUGACGGGUAGCCCGCCUGAGAGGGUGACCGGCAACAUUGGGACUGAGAUACGGCGCAGACUGCUACGGGAGGCAGCAGUGGGGAAUAUUGCACAACGGGGGGAAGCCUGAUGUAGCAACGUCGCGUGCGGGAUGAAGGCCUUCGGGUUGUAAACAGAUUUCGCAGGUGACGAAGCGUGCGUGACGGUAAUGGGUAAAGAAGCAACGGCUAACUACGUG